AUAAUUUAAUUAAAAUUAUUUCUUGCCUAAAUUCCUAAUAUUCUACAAAAUCUGAUAACAUAUAUUCAUUACUUGUAAAGUCAAUAAAAUUAAUGGAAUCAGUAUUAUUAUGAAAACGAUAUGAUAUAUAAUUAGUAAAGUAUCUAUAUUGCCCUUUGCACCAUUGGAACUGACUAGUAAAAUAAACCUUGUAAUUUAACCUCGAAAUCAAUUGGUUUAAUAUCAAUAAGAGAAAUAACUCUUUCUAAAUACAAUGAACUUGAGACAGCAUUGGGCGGAUACUUAUUAUUAUAUAAUGCUCCUAUGGAUAGGUUAAUAUCGUGAAAAAAGUAUCGACACGUUACAAAAAGAAGAAAAGUAGUUAAUUUAACCUCACAGAUAUUUAAGAGUUCUUUGUCGAGUGAGCGGGAAAGGGUGAGUCAUCCAAUACCAUCUUUUGAAGGCGACAAAGGCUGAUAGAGUGAAAUGGACUCGCCGCAGAUUCCCUCGCAGUUAACAGAGGGUUCACGGGCACCAUCUUCUGGUGUCUCAGGCAUAUGACGCGUCAAUUAUCGUGACUCGUAGAACGAGGACAAGAGGCUACAAGAUGGAGGUUCCUCGGGAUACGGGGACAAGGGGAUUUCUAGAAACCGUUGAAGAGGGCCGAAGCGAUAAUCAAGAGUGCUCGGAGGGUGGACUCACGUGGUGUACGGUGCCGUCGGCGGUUCUGGCAUCUCGCUUGGUCGGCCCUAGGCCGUCUCGUAUGCAGGGAGACGCGCGUCCCGACGCAGGGGGGGACGCCUUUCGCCGCCUCUCGACGUCUCACCUCGCCACGGGUACCCACAAGCAAAUCCCUGAUAAUGGCCACGCGCCCUCGCCCUCCACCUCCACAAUAUAUUCCAAGGAAAGUCUGCGAAAUUCAGGAAACGAGCUUGCCAAUUUUGAUCCAGAUAGACAGCAACCUGCGCAACAAUUUCACGAAAACGCUGGCAAGGGCAUACGUGCUCGCGGUUAACAGAAAAUACGACGACUGUCAUGGCGUCCCUCGCCCACCCCGCAGGAACUUACGCGUUUGGUGCAUCAUUUAGUCGAUUAGUUUUUCAUCGAUUUCUAUGAAAAAAUCACCCGAUAAAUAAACUUGCCAUAACGAAAAACAAA
rnacentral:lncRNA from 1 species